rnacentral:rRNA from 1 species
CAGCAGUGGGGAAUUUUGGACAAUGGGCGCAAGCCUGAUCCAGCCAUGCCGCGUGUCUGAAGAAGGCCUUCGGGUUGUAAAGGACUUUUGUCAGGGAAGAAAAGGCUGUUGCUAAUACCGACAGCUGAUGACGGUACCUGAAGAAUAAGCACCGGCUAACUACGUGCCAGCAGCCGCGGUAAUACGUAGGGUGCGAGCGUUAAUCGGAAUUACUGGGCGUAAAGCGAGCGCAGACGGUUACUUAAGCAGGAUGUGAAAUCCCCGGGCUCAACCUGGGAACUGCGUUCUGAACUGGGUGACUAGAGUGUGUCAGAGGGAGGUAGAAUUCCACGUGUAGCAGUGAAAUGCGUAGAGAUGUGGAGGAAUACCGAUGGCGAAGGCAGCCUCCUGGGAUAACACUGACGUUCAUGCUCGAAAGCGUGGGUAGCAAACAGGAUUAGA